rnacentral:rRNA from 1 species
GACGAACGCUGGCGGCGUGCUUAACACAUGCAAGUCGAACGGAAAGGCCCUGCUUUUGUAGGGUGCUCGAGUGGCGAACGGGUGAGUAACACGUGAGUAACCUGCCCUUGACUUUGGGAUAACUUCAGGAAACUGGGGUUAAUACCGGAUAGGAGCUCCUGCUGCAUGGUGGGGGUUGGAAAGUUUCGGCGGUUGGGGAUGGACUCGCGGCUUAUCAGCUUGUUGGUGGGGUAGUGGCUUACCAAGGCUUUGACGGGUAGCCGGCCUGAGAGGGUGACCGGCCACAUUGGGACUGAGAUACGGCCCAGACUCCUACGGGAGGCAGCAGUGGGGAAUAUUGCACAAUGGGCGGAAGCCUGAUGCAGCAACGCCGCGUGCGGGAUGACGGCCUUCGGGUUGUAAACCGCUUUCGCCUGUGACGAAGCGUGAGUGACGGUAAUGGGUAAAGAAGCACCGGCUAACUACGUG